rnacentral:lncRNA from 1 species
UAUUCCCCCGUUUUCCAGUGGCCGCCUGAUUGCCAAAACUUGAACUAUAUUCCCUCGUUCUCCAGAUUGUCUCCUGAUUGCCAAAACUUGAACUGUAUUCCUCUAUAUUCUAGGUGGGCGCCUGAUAGCCAAUACUUGAACUGUAUUCCCUGUUCUCCAGAUGGGUGCCUGAUUGCCAAAACUUGAACUAUAUUCCCUUAUUCUCCAGGUGGGCUCCUGAUUGCCAAAACUUGAACUGUACUCGCUUGUUCUCCAGGUAGGCGCCUGGUUGCCAAAACUUGAACUAUAUUCCCUCGUUCUCCCGGUUGUCUCCUGAUUGCCAAAACUUGAACUGUACUCGCUUGUUCUCCAGGUGGGAGCCUGAUUGCCAAAACAUGAACUAUAUUCCCUUGUUCUCAGGGUAGGCGCCUGAUUGCCAAAACUUGAACCACAUUCCCUUGUUCUCCAGGUGGGUGCCUGAUUGCCAAAACUUGAACUGUAUUCUCUCGUUUUCCAGGUGGGCGCAUUUUUGCAAAAACUUGAACUAUAUUCCCUUGUUCUCCAGGUGGGCGCCAAAUUGCCAAAACUUGAACUGUGGUCCCUUGUUCUCCAGGUGGGCGCCUUUUUGCUAGAACUUGAAUUGUAUUUCCUUAUUCCCAAGGUAGGCGCCUGAUU